rnacentral:rRNA from 1 species
AGCGAACGCUGGCGGCAGGCUUAACACAUGCAAGUCGAGCGGGCAUCCUUGUGGUGUCAGCGGCAGACGGGUGAGUAACGCGUGGGAACGUGCCCUUCGGUUCGGAAUAACUCAGGGAAACUUGAGCUAAUACCGGAUACGUGCGAGAGCAGAAAGGUUUAUCUGCCGAAGGAUCGGCCCGCGUCUGAUUAGCUAGUUGGUGAGGUUAUGGCUCACCAAGGCGACGAUCAGUAGCUGGUCUGAGAGGAUGAUCAGCCACACUGGGACUGAGACACGGCCCAGACUCCUACGGGAGGCAGCAGUGGGGAAUAUUGGACAAUGGGGGCAAUCCUGAUCCAGCCAUGCCGCGUGAGUGAUGACGGCGUUAGGGUUGUAAAGCUCUUUUCUCCGGGACGAUAAUGACGGUACCGGAGGAAUAAGCCCCGGCUAACUUCGUG